rnacentral:tRNA from 1 species
GUCAACUUGGCCGAGUGGUUAAGGCGACAGACUUGAAAUCUGUUGGGUUCGCCCGCAGAGGUUCGAACCCUCUAGUUGACG